AUUGAACGCUGGCGGCAUGCCUUACACAUGCAAGUCGAACGGCAGCACGGGGGCAACCCUGGUGGGGAGUGGCGAACGGGUGAGUAAUACAUCGGAACGUGCCCAGUAGUGGGGGAUAGCCCGGCGAAAGCCGGAUUAAUACCGCAUACGACCUACGGGUGAAAGCGGGGGAUCGCAAGACCUCGCGCUAUUGGAGCGGCCGAUGUCAGAUUAGGUUGUUGGUGAGGUAAAGGCUCACCAAGCCGACGAUCUGUAGCUGGUCUGAGAGGACGACCAGCCACACUGGGACUGAGACACGGCCCAGACUCCUACGGGAGGCAGCAGUGGGGAAUUUUGGACAAUGGGGGCAACCCUGAUCCAGCCAUGCCGCGUGCGGGAAGAAGGCCUUCGGGUUGUAAACCGCUUUUGUCAGGGAAGAAAUCUCUUGGGCUAAUACCCCAGAAGGAUGACGGUACCUGAAGAAUAAGCACCGGCUAACUACGUGCCAGCAGCCCGCGGUAAUACGUAGGGUGCAAGCGU
rnacentral:rRNA from 1 species